CAGCCGCCGCGGGAAUACGGAGGGGGCUAGCGUUGUUCGGAAUUACUGGGCGUAAAGCGCACGUAGGCGGCUAUUCAAGUCAGGGGUGAAAGCCCGGGGCUCAACCUCGGAACUGCCUUUGAAACUAGAUAGCUAGAAUCUUGGAGAGGCGAGUGGAAUUCCGAGUGUAGAGGUGAAAUUCGUAGAUAUUCGGAAGAACACCAGUGGCGAAGGCGACUCGCUGGACAAGUAUUGACGCUGAGGUGCGAAAGCGUGGGGAGCAAACAGGAUUAGAUACCCCCGUAGUCCCUGUCUCUUAUAC
rnacentral:rRNA from 1 species